ACGAACGCUGGCGGCGUGCCUAAUACAUGCAAGUAGAACGCUGAAGGAGGAGCUUGCUUCUCUGGAUGGGUUGCGAACGGGUGAGUAACGCGUAGGUAACCUGCCUGGUAGCGGGGGAUAACUAUUGGAAACGAUAGCUAAUACCGCAUAAUAGCAGUUGUUGCAUGACAACUGUUUGAAAGGUGCAAUUGCACCACUACCAGAUGGACCUGCGUUGUAUUAGCUAGUUGGUGGGGUAACGGCUCACCAAGGCGACGAUACAUAGCCGACCUGAGAGGGUGAUCGGCCACACUGGGACUGAGACACGGCCCAGACUCCUACGGGAGGCAGCAGUAGGGAAUCUUCGGCAAUGGACGGAAGUCUGACCGAGCAACGCCGCGUGAGUGAAGAAGGUUUUCGGAUCGUAAAGCUCUGUUGUAAGAGAAGAACGAGUGUGAGAGUGGAAAGUUCACACUGUGACGGUAUCUUACCAGAAAGGGACGGCUAACUACGUG
rnacentral:rRNA from 1 species